CCAGUCGUAGCCGAUGUUCCACAGGAGCGGCCCAAGGACCGAACCCUGUGGGACACCGCACGACAUC
rnacentral:pre_miRNA from 1 species